GCGGCAUCGCCCCGCAGAGCGGGCGGCGGAUCGCCGGCACCGCGCGGGGAGACGGGGGUCGCCCCGGGAUCACCCCCGGGAUCACCCCAGAGCCCGGCAUCAGCCACGGGAUCGCAGAGAUCUGCCCGGGAUCACUGGGGCCACACUGGGAUCAUCCCCAGGGACGCACUUGGAUCACCCCCGGGAUCACCCCCGGCAUCACCAGGGACACAUCAGACACCGAGGCCACAUUGGGAUCAGCCACUGGACCGCUGGGACCGCACCAGCAUCUCGCUGGGAUCACCUCUGGGAUCACUUCUGGGAUCACCAGGGUCAUCAGCACCCCGGGAUCACCCCCAGGACACCAGUACCCCAGGAAUCUGGGAUCUCCCGUACAUCACAGCGCAGGAUAUCAGCAGCCCUGGCAUCACCUGCACCCUCGGGAUCACCUCCAGCACCGGGAAGGGGGGAGGCAGAAGCAGCUCAGCUUGCCCCCAGCACAGCUCUGUGUCGCGGUGUUGCCUUUCCAGAGAUGCUCAGACCCAACCAAGCGCUGCUGCUGGAACUGCCUGGCUUGCUUCCUGCCUUGGACUACCCACAGCUGACAGCCUGACUGCACACAAGCUGUGAUGAGCCCGGGCUUCUUCCUCAUCUGCCUGAGGGAUGCCACAGUCCUGGUGCACACGUGCUGACAACAGAGAACAAAACUGGAUCAGCAGCAGCAGCUCAGAGCGGAAUUCUCACCUGGAAAAUCUCUUUUCCUGCAAAAAACAUCCCCCCUUUUCCCCAGCCUUCCCAAGUGGUGCAGGGAAAAGCUGCCCAAAGCCUCCUGGUCAGCACAUCCCUCCAGGCUCAAAGCAGGAAAUUCACCUCUGGAGCCCUGCAGAGCUGGUUUUGAGACGUUUUCUUUAAGAAACGCUUACUGCUGCAGUGUGCUGCCCCAACACUCAAACAGGUGAUCGUUUUGGAGCCCUGCUAAGCCCAGGGCUUUGCUGUUGUCUUACGGUGAGCCCUCAGCAGGAAGGACCUAGAAAAUGAAGCAGAAGCUGGUCCAGCUGGAAGAGCCAUCUCCUGCAUCCUCUCAUACCUGUCCUGCUCAUCUUCCUCCUGCCAGCACAAAGACAGACCCCACUCCAUGUCAAAAACACACCUCUGGAGAGGCAGAGGUCAGCUGACCCCCGCUGCCACACUGAAGGCUGACUCAGUAACCUCUGGGAAGCCUCACAGGGGAGAGGUGCCCCUGUCCCACACCUCAGGUGAGAGAGCUGGGCACAACCCAUCUGCAAGUGUAAAGGGAGUUCCCUCAGCUGUCUUCUCACAGCUGUGCUCUGCCUGUAACUACCCCCAGAAGUCUCCUUUGCUCUGCAAGGUCAUGUCACAGUCUGAAGGAAGUCAGAGCCCAGCCAGCUGAUGAGAGCUGGGCCCAGAGGAACCUGCUGAGGGUCACCCAGGGCAAGGGCAGAGUCCUGCAGCUGGGCAGGAACAAGCCCCUGCCCCAGCACAAGCUGGGGGGCACCUGCUGCAGAGCAGCUCCAGGGGAGGGACCUGGCAGUGCUGGUGGGCAGCAGAGAAACAUGAGCAGCAGUGUGGGCUGGUGGGCAAGAAGCCAAUGGCAGCCUGGGGGCAUCCAGCAGAGUGUGGGCAGCAGGGCCAGGGAGGUUGUGCUGCCCUUCUGCUGUGCCCUGCUGAGGCCUCAGCUGGAGCCCUGUGCUCAGUGCUGGGCUCCCCAGCUGCAGAGAGACAGGGAACUGCUGCAGAGAGGCCAGGGAGGGCUCCCAAGGUGCUGAGGGAAGGUGUGUGUGAGGAGGAAAGGCUGCGGGCCCUGUAGCAGGGGCUAGCACUGGAUGAGCUCUGCAGGGCCCUGUUGAAGCAGGGUAGGGACUGGAAACAAAGCUCCCAGGUGCCCCUGCCCCACUGACAGUGUGACUGCUGCCUGCUCCUCUGCACACGACAGGGUACUUCAAUCACUGUCCUAUUUCAGCCUCUGAAUGGUAAAGCUGAUGUCAAAACAAGAUGCAUCUCCAGAUAGUUGACCACAGAUAGCAUUACAAUGCCAGCCUCUCUGCUUAGGGAAAGGGGCAGAGCUACCAUGCCCUCCUUCUCCCAGGGCUUAGUUGUGCCCUCAUUUCACACGUGGCCACCCAGGGAAACGGGCAGAGCUGCCAGGACAACUCACCAGGCACAGGACUCGGUUGAUAGGAAUCAUCCCGGGUCUGAUGCUGCCACCGGGCCUCAGAGCUUCCUGCACGUCCCUGGGGAUGAGGAAGGACUCGCUGUACCAGAUCUCAAACUCUGCAAAGCAAAGCAGGGGACAGAGACCAGGGCUGUAAUGACCAGAGAUGAGGGUGGAUUUGCUCCCCAUGGAUCAGCUGGGACCUCGGUGCCCUUCAGCUCUCCCGUUGGGGCCUCAGAACUCCGUGCUCUUGAGUUAAAGAGGGAGGGGCGCUCUCAGGUAGCUUUGCUGAGGAAGCUGCUGCCUGUCCUUGCAGCCUGCCAGGAGCUGGGAUGUGGUGGCUGGCCCAGGGGACAGUCCCCUGGGCUUGUGCAGCCCGAGAAGUGGUCGGCCACAAGAUGGCACUGGCCCUGCGUCCCCUCCCCGGGCUGGAGCUGCCCGUUUCCAGUGAUUUGGGGAGGGUCAGAUUUCAAUUCCAACGGCUACAGGAGCACAGGCACCUUCCAGCCCGGAAUAGGCAGUGAUAACACACAGCAGGAAUUCUGUCCUUAGGAAUGCCAGGCGCUUCCCAGGCGCCCACUGCAGAGGGGCUGUGCUCAGCUCCCUUCCUCUGGCACGUUUCCCCACGGAGCAGGAGAGCCCACAGCCCCUGCAGAAGGCUGGGCUGCCCAGGGGGCACCCGGGAAUGGAGCUGCUUUCUGUGCUGGGAGUCCUGAAGGAUGGGCAACCCCAGAGCCCUGCUCUGCCAGGCACAGGGGAUGUGAUGCACCACUGCCUUUUUACCCUUGUUUUAGCUGUGCAAUGACCUCUUCACUCUGGAGUGAUACAGAUAGUAAGGGAGCCCAUGCCUGUAUGUUUAAACAAACAGCAAACAUCUGGAGCACCCCAAAAAUGUCCAGGUUGGCUCCAGUGCAAACCAGUGGCACUGCUUCUGCACAGUUAGGCUUUGGCUCUGUCUCCUGGAACAAGCCAAGCAUUUCUGCCAGCGUGGGCUGCUCUGAUGGACACAAGUUGUGCUGUGGAGAGCUUGUAGAAAAUAAAGUGUUGUCAGGUGCACAGCAUCCAAAUGGUUGGGGCUCUGACGUUUGUCCACUCAACUCUCUUCCAUCACAGGGGACAAACCUGGGGCUAGAGCAGCACUGCACUCCUGCAGGCCCACACUGAGUGGUUUGCAGCACAGCACACCCUGAAUUUGCAGAGAUCCCCCUGAGCAGAACAUGUGACUCAUCAGCACGAGGGUGCUGCUCAUGAAGAACAUGCUAA